rnacentral:lncRNA from 1 species
AUGUCUAGUCUUAGUCUGCCCUCUAAAUUCCCAGUCCUAUCCAUGAGAAAUUUCAAACUGGAUGUCCUGUAUGUGUCUCAAAUACAACAUGUCCAAAAUAGAACUCAUUAUUUUUCUGCUAAAAUUCUAUUCUUCUCUCUAAUCCUUCUAUUUCUGUUGAGUGGUCUACCAUCCAUUCAUUUACUCAUGUCUACAACCUUAGAAUCAUUCUUAACUCUUCUUUUUUCUCAUUUUUCAUGUCUAAUUGGUUACUAAGUUUUUUGAGUUAUGCAUUUGCAAUUUCUCUUGGCAUUUUUCCAUUUCUCUAUAUUCAUGUAGAUAUGAUCCUAAUUCAGGUCUAUUAUAUCUCAAUUAGAUUUUGUAAUAGUUUUCUUUUUUCUUUUUUAAACCCUUACCUUCUGUCUUAGAAUCAAUACUAAGUAUUGGUUCCAAGGCAGAAGAGCAGCAAGGGGUAGGCAUUGGGAGUUAAGUGACUUAUUUAUGUUCACAUGGUUGGGAUCAUUUUUAACUGCGAGUAGGAGAUGAGGAAAGUUCAGGAAAGUUUUUAGAUAGAGUUCUGGACUCAGAGUCAGGAAGAUGAGUUCAAAAUCUUCCUUGAUACAUUUCCUUCUGUACAUGGGUCCUUUCCUGAUCCUCAUUAAAUAGCAAAACAACCUCUUUGAGGAGAGCUAAUGUGUUUUCUCUAUUCUUGAUAUUUUUUUAAAAUCCUAUAUUUUCUAUCAUCUAGUGCUAUUACAUGAUGGCUUCCCUGACUUCUUUUUUCUUUCACUGGAUAAAAUCUAUGUCAUAAUAUUGUUUGAAGGAAAGCACCUUAAAAACUAUAAAGAUCUUCUACCACCACUAUUAUUAUCAACAACAAUAUUAACAUCAUUUUGUCAUUCUUUAAAAACAGUAUUUAGGGAAUGUUCUUUUUGCUCUGCUCACUCAUUUGUUCUGUAUUUGAUGAGUUUUUUUUCCUAUAUGUUUACCUCAAAAUCCAGCAAAAAAAAAAAUAAUCUGAUAAAAACAUGUGAUAUACUUUGGCUAAUCUUCCAGUCAGACGAUCAACAAAUAAUUAUGGAUUUCCUUCUGGAAGCUGCCUUAGAGGUUGUUCUGAAAUGUAUUUGAAUUGGGGCGAAAUGGAAUAUAUCCUCAUUUUCUCUCUUUCAUCUCUUAGGAGUCCCUGAAUUCCCACUCAGGCAGCCCCUCAGCAUGUGCCCUACCACAGAAGAACAACAAUCCGAUGUUGGGAAAUAUUCUUUUCAUUCUUUUAUUU